GUCGCUAUGGUAACUCGUCCGGGUUUCUGAGGUUUCUGUCAACAGUGAGAGGAAUAGUGAAGAAAUGCCUUUCUCCAUUUUGCUCUAAUUCUCCCUUGGUCCCGGCACUACGAUUGUUGCAUCCCUCCACAUCUCCUAAGCACACGGAAGACUAGAUGACGUCCUUUGGGGAGUGCGCAUUCUGAGAAAACUUACAUGAAGCAUCUAUAACCGCGCCCAGCUUAAGAUAAGGCACACCUCGUUUCACCUCUUUGUGCUUCUGCACAGAAAAUCAGACCUUCUGUUGCAAGAUGGCCCUAAGGAUUUGACAUUGAUCACCAUCAUAGAAUUGGAACUUACAAAUAUUUUUCUCUUGGUAACACUCUGCAGAUGGUUAAGAGCCAGCACGUGGUUGCUGGGGAUUGAACUCAGGACACUGUAGCUAACCAUUGUCGGUAACUCCAGUUCCCGGAACUCCAGCACUGUCUCUGCCCUCCAUGGGCAGCCCACAUGCGAGUGAUGCACACAUACAUACAAGUAAAGCACCCGCAUAGACAGCAAAACUUUGAAGAAAGAUAAUUUGUUUCCAGCAAAUCUGGACUAUAAGAAUGUCUGACAAACAACUUAAAUCAAGAAAGAGAGUUUGUUCACCUCCUGACAGACAAGAGAUGGGGAGGUGCAGAAGAAAGAGAGAAGAACAGAGAGGAAGAGAGGGGAGGGAAAAAGGAGAGGAAAGCAGUCUGGGGCAAGAAAGAUCCAAGGACCCACUGUAGUGACUUACUUCCUUCAGCUGCAAAGUGGCUAUAAGUUUCAAGUGGUCCCUGAAAGAACACCUCAGCUGGACUCAACCCCUCAAAUCACAAGCCUUUUGGAAGACCAGUUCACAUCCAAACUGAACAGUACAUUUCCUAGAACACCAAAGUCUCAUGUGCGUCUCACAAGGUAAUAUUUGGUAUACCAAGGGUUCCCAAAGCCUUAUCAGUUCAAACAUUGUUGACAAUUUAGGUUCAAUUAAGAUCUGAGACUCAAGGCAAAUUUUUACUCUUAGGCUCUAUAAAAUAAAACAA
rnacentral:sRNA from 1 species